rnacentral:lncRNA from 1 species
UUGUUCGUUGUAUACGUUUCAUCUUUCUCAAAUUCAUCUAUCUCAAAUUCGAAACCUAAAUGCGAAGAAAAAAAAUAAGCCAAUGGAUCUUCUGUUGAUUUCUCAAACUCAAACCCUAAUGGCGAUUUCUGAAACUCAAAUCCUAAUGGUGAUGCGAAGAAAAAUCUAAGCCAAUCGAUUGGAUCUUCUGUUGAUUACUCUUUUUCUAAGGUUAUGAUGGGGAUGCCAAUGGUGGGAUGAUUACUCGAGAUACGUAACCCUGUUGUAGUUGAUGAUCAGUUUGCAGGAAAACUGUUGAGGUGUUUACGCCAUUCACUUUGUUGUGACAUGUGAAUCCGUUUGUAUGCGGCCAUUUCAGAUAAGUUCUCUUUUUUCAGAUGUUACUCUUGCAAGAAGACAGUUGG